rnacentral:rRNA from 1 species
CAGCAGCCACGGUAAUACGUAGGUGGCAAGCGUUGUCCGGAAUUAUUGGGCGUAAAGGGCUCGCAGGCGGUUUCUUAAGUCUGAUAUGAAAGCCCCCGGCUCAACCGGGGAGGGUCAUUGGAAACUGGGAAACUUGAGUGCAGAAGAGGAGAGUGGAAUUCCACGUGUAGCGGUGAAAUGCGUAGAGAUGUGGAGGAACACCAGUGGCGAAGGCGACUCUCUGGUCUGUAACUGACGCUGAGGAGCGAAAGCGUGGGGAGCGAACAGGAUUAGAUACCCCAGUAGUCCCUGUCUCUUAUAC